UGUUUGAGGGUCAUUUGGCACGGAUUCUGAUGCCUUUGUACAUCAGAAGCCAAAUUUGAUGACAAAUAGCGCCAAGAAACCAUUGAACUGUUUUUGUGGGAUUCGGCCUUUGAUUGGCUAAUUUGAUUUUUAAAAAAGAAAAGAAAUAUGCAUGCAUUUGUGAUGUCGAGCUUGAUAUGAAUUCGAACGAAAAGGCCAAGUGAACUGUUUUCAUCGAAUUCGGCAUUUGAAAUGCUAAUUUUGAUAUUAAAGUUGAGUCUUGCAUGCAUUUGAUAUAUUGAGGUUGAUACAAAUUCGAACAAGAAGGUCCCUUGUGGUGGACUGUUCUGACUUUGUGCAUUGCCACACUUCACACAUUGUAGAGUAUCCAACUGCUAGGAUAUAAGUCUCACAACCUGACACGGAUUUAGCCGGAUCAGAUUUUAAAAUAAUUCUAUAUAAAAGUAUUUAUCUCUUUCUUUUUUUUGAUAACUUUCAAACAGAGAUGAGAUUAUUGUCUACCUUUAAUUGCAAUGACAAAAGUCGAAUUUGUCUUUAGUUAAUUUGUGUUGUUUUUCAGGGAUCAUUAAGUGCCUUCCUGGAGUAAAAAAUGUAAAGGACAAUCCUGUCAUACAGUCACUAGAUGAGCUGAAGAACAUUGCUGACCAUUUGGUGGUGUCCAAGUCAGAUGAUCAGAGGGUUGUUACUGCUGAUAAGACUCUGGAUUUUGACAAGCUGGUUGUGCUUCUUGACAAACUAUACGACUUGUGCUCUGUUGAGGGAUCAGAUAAUGCUUCCAUUGCAACCAGGAAUGGAGGAGUGGAGCUCCUAACUUCUAUAUGUUCUUUGCUUCGUGUCAAAUUUGAGAUGCCUCUUCUUUCAGCUUUGAAAGCAAUGAGUUCCCUUCUCCACGGUAUGAGUGUGGUAUCUAACUUUCAGUCUGACGCUUAGAUGAAAAGAUUCACUGUUUCAUCUUUUGUUUUUUUCCCCUUUGACAUUCUGAUGUUAUUACGAAUGCUUCUUCUUCAGCAGCUACUCUUUUGAUAUAUCGAUCAGAGUCUUUUAUUUAUUUAUAUAUUUUUUUGCUCGGUGUUGAAAAUGACACUGUAGAUGAUCUGUAAUUAUCAAUGACGCCCCAAAUAACUCUCACUCUUUGAUCUAGCUCAUAAGAACAGAUCUAUCGUUGAAUAUAGUGUUAUUAAAUGUUUCCCAGAAAAAAUUGGUGAUGAAAAUCAUGUUACUGUAUAUUUCUUAGUAUAAAGGAACAAAGUAAUGUAGUUGUGGCUAUCUUAUUACCAUAUAAAAGUUUGCCACUGAGCAAUUAAUUCCACAGUUACAAUUUGGAUUUAGAUAUAAUCAUGGUCAUUACUUGUCAGGAAGGAAUGCACGGUUCAUCCUGAAGCGUCAAUUGUAUAUUACUAUGAUAGUUAGGAAUUAGUGUGAUUUCAUUUCCAAAUUGAUUGGAGUAAGGCCAGCAGUGUAUUUAGUUUAAUUUAAUUUUGGGGUAAGAGUUAUGAUUCAUGACUGAUUCUUUUUAUGUUAACUUGGUCUGCUACUUUCUUGCCAAAUAUAGAAGUAUGGGAAUGCACGAUUUGAUUCAUUUUGUCUCUGACAUUUAAAGUUUAUUGGUUUACAUUUAUUGUUGUCCGAGGAUUCAAAAGUUCUAUUAAUCUGGGAGAGCUUAACAAGGGAUACACAUUUAUUUCCUUAAAUAUAGACUUGACCAUAUUUCACUUGAUAUGACUUACCAAUCUGAUCUUACUGACUCGAGAAUUUCUGGUUGGGACUAAUAUUCAGAUGUUUAACUUGUAACUCUCUGAGCAUGCAUGGGCAUUAGAUGCUGGUCAAAAUUUGGUGAGCAAUGCAUUUUUACAUUUGGCUGUUAUUCACAGACUUUCAAAGCACGGAGACAUUUUGGCAUAGUGGUGGGCCUGCAAUUCUGAUGGAUAUCCUAAAUGGAAGUAAAAGUUCAAACGUUUUGGAUAGUGGUUUUGCUGUCAUUGCAGCGGCAUCAACAGGUAACGAAAUUCUCAAGGAAGCAUUCAUCGACUUAAAAGUUGAUGAGCUAUUUAUACAAACAAUGAGGGAGCAGGCUAAAGGCAGUAUGCAAAGCUUAUAUCAUGCCAUAUGUUCCCUUUUAACACCAGAUGACAACCGUGUUUUGGCUUCUCAAGUAAGUGUUUGAUUAACAUCGAUACUAUAGCAUACAUUAAUGUUCACCUCUUGUCUUUGUCAUUCCUUUUCUUUCUGAUAACUUGUUAAGCCUCAUAAUGUGUGAAGAUGAUUUUUUAUACUGCAAGAUGUAUAAGAUUGUUUCGGAUUAGGGGUGCAAUCGAGCCGAGCCAAAGCUAGUAGUUAGAGGCUCGAGCUCAACUUGAUUCAAAAUACUUAGGGUCGAAACUUAACUCAAGAUCGAUCGAGCAUUAAUAUCCAAGCUCGGACUUGGCUCAAUAAAAAAAAGCGAUACUCGAUUGAUUUGACUCGACCCGAAUAUCAACUGAGCAAUACUCGAGCUCGAGUUCGAGCCUUGAUCAUACUUAAAAAAAUAUGAUUAAAACAAAAUAUAAUAUAAUAUAAUAUUUUAAAUAUUAAAUUAGCAAUAUAUUAUAAAUAAAAUAUAAUAUUUUAAAAAAUAUGUAUUCUUGACUAGGCUUGUGAGUCUUUAAGCCAAGUAUUUUGCACUCGACCUCGAUUCGAAAAACUAUCCGAGCUACUCGAGUUUGACUCGAGCUCGGUAAUAGUCGAGUUAAGUCAAGUUUAAACCCGAGUCGAACUCGAGCAGCUCACAAGCUACUCGGCUCAUUUGCACCCCUAUUUUAGACCAGUGCUACAUGGAUAUUGACAUGAGUAUUGGAUUCAGGCUUAUUUCCAAGUGUCUGACUCAACAAGAAGGAGAAAGGCAGGUAUGGGGAUACACAGGAUAAAACAUAAUUUCAACUAAAUUAUAUAUUUAUACUUUUGAACAUUGUUUAAACAUUGAAAUAUUAAAAUUAUCAUGUUUGUUAAGAUCUUUCAACAUACAUGUUUCUCAUUCAAACAUCCUAAUUAACUUAAGGAUAUAAGAAGAAUAAUAUUUUGUAAACUUGUUUCAAUAAUUACAUCUUUAAAUCAUCUUAAAAAGAAGAUGAACUCACUCCUAACAUCAAAAUAGAGGAUCAAAUUCAUUGUUGAAAGAGUUCAUGCUUUUCCGAUCUCUAAGAGUGGCUAUAAUGGAACAUCAUAGGUAUCCAAGUGUCUGAUAUGUACCCAAGUUAGAUGCAUAUCCAACAUGGAUUUUUGAAGCUAGAUGUAAGUGUCCAGCUGACACAAUUUUUUGACUUCAGACUUUAUCCUUGUUACAUUUUUUGUGGUAUUCAGGUACUCAUUUUUCUCUAUUUUUUGGAGCAGAGAUAAUCAUUUUUCUGAACUAUUUUGAGACCACUUUAUAGAAAACAGGUUUAAAUCAAAGCUUGAUCCGGUAGGGAAAGAUAAUAAUAAACGUAUAUAGAAAUUACCUAGGGAUAGAAUACUGGAACAAUUAAGUUUAAAGAAAAGAAAGUAAUAUUUGCCAGAUUAACUCAAUGCAUUGUAAUGCAUUUUUUCUGCAUAUGUUCUGAUAGUUUAAGCAGUAACAGUAAAGAACUUCAAGCUUUGAGAAAAUGACUGCUAAGAGAGAUAUGAAUAUUAUGUUGUCCUAUUAAAAAGAGAACCAAAAAAAUUAUGUCUUUAAAGUUGACUACCACUCCCUUUCCAAAUCUCAUAGCCUCAAUAGGAAAAAAGUGGAGGUGAAUAUCAGCAAAUAAAGAAAAUGCCAAACUGUGAAACAAAUCCUUAUCUGCUAAUUGUUAGUGCCACCAUGUUCCUUAUGAAAAAAUACAGCGUAGAUGAUGUUUAUGCAAUUAACUGAGUAUUACGGACAACUAGAUUUGGAACUUGAGAAUGUUUCAUCCUGAUCAAUCUUUGGGAAACUUAUGAUCAGUUUCAUUCUUAUCAUUCUUUGGGAAACUUAUGAGCAGUCAGAAAAACAAGUGUUCUAAAACAUUCAACAGAUAAUUCAAUAUGAAUGUGUUCAAUUCUCCAUCUAAGUACAUCAGUGAACAUCCAGAGACACAUGUGGUCCUCACAUGAUAGCAAAUGUCAGAGAGAGCUCAAUUUAAUAAGAAUUUUCUUUAGGUGCUCACCUAUAUAAUCACUUGUUGGAUACGUGAAUUUGCUUGACUUCCUCAUAAUAGAGGUCAAAUGCUUCCUUAGCUGCAAAACCUAAAUAUUUGAUAUUUACUUUACUGGUCCUGGUUAAAGAGGAAUACCAAAGGAUUAAUCCAAAUAAAUUAAAUGUUUAUAAUUUGUAUCACAUGCACAAGCACACAUAUCUAUCCACUUGUUGUAUAGGUAACAGGCCUCCAAGAUAUGUGAUUUUUGGAUCCUAUGCAGUUUAGAUGUUGCAGAUUAUGAUCAAUAGUAUGAUUUUCAUUUUAAAAGGGCUAUCAUUAAUUUACAUGGGAAGCAUUUGGGAUCAAAUUGUUCAAAAAAGCAUUCUAUCUUUACUAUCUGUGUUUGCUUCAUAGUUACCAAGUGUUUAAGUAUUACUUUGUACAAAGGGUCAAAUUACCGUGUGAUGUGCCCACCCCCGGUCAUGGGCUAGCAUGGCACAAUACCAUAUUAAUCCAGUCAUGCACCCUACCAUAAAGAUCGCCAAGUUAAGACUAUAGUCACGAACUCACGAUAUAAAUUAUUGAAGAUGAGGGAUCCAAAAAUUCUUUCGAAACACUGAUAUUAACAAAAAUGUAUUUGUUUAUAUGGAAAAGUAAUUAUUAAAUAUUAUUUAAUAGAAGAUUCAUUUAAAAUUGUUCCAUGUAUGUCAUGGUGUUUGUCAAAAAAUAAUUGUUGAUUAACUCUUCUACACAAACAAACACAACAAGCAUAUUCAUUUUAAAAAGGUUUUGUGAGUGGUGUCAAUUAUUUUUCUUUUAUAUUUAUUGGAAUGGAAAUAAAUGUUAUAUGAUGAGUGUCUGUAUACAUUAAAUUCUUCAUUGUUAAAUUCAAGCAUGAUCAAAAUAUGAUGUACAAAGAUAAGCAUGACCAUAAUGAUGAAAGCAUUUCAAUCAUCAGUUGUGUCUGGUGUUAUCUUCUUUUUUAAGCAGACAAAUAGUGAAAUUUUCAAUUCCAUGCACUUGUGGAAUUAAUAAGAGGGAAAUCUUGUGAAUGUUUAGUCUUUGCGGAUGUCAAUUUCUUGCAUUAAGGUCUAUAAAAAGUACCCUUAAACAACCAUUUGUUCUAAGUUGUCAAAAGGUACAAGUACAGCAUAUUUUCUGUAUGUUAAAUUUACAUUAUUAUUUCGAGGCCUUAAAAAAAAGAUUGGUACUUUUCUUGCUUCAUUGAUUAUUAUAUCUAAUCUAAUUCUUUAAAUUAUUUAUCUUUUCCGCCUUUCUCUUUAGUUAUAAAAUUGUUAAUGAUUUGCUAAACAAUAUUGAAACGAGGUUGUGAAGAUUCUGCAUUUUAAUUUAUUUCCUUAGAAAUAGAGAAGCAUAAUAUCUUCAUAGAAUUAGAAUUAACUAAGGAAUUUGAAAGCCAGGUCUAUGGAUAUGCUCGAAGAUUUGCUCAAAUUGGUAUUGCAGAUGCUCUUGUUGAUGCACUUCGUGAGGGAAUCAGUUCAUCCAGUUUGGCUUCAGCAUGCUCUGCUUUAAAGGCUCUUGCUGUUAAUGUAAGUUUGCUAGUCUCAUGAAAAGAUAAAUUCAAACAUCCAUGCAUUCAUAUAUCUCAGUCACUUUAAUAGCUACUUGAACAUCUUUGUGGAUGUGCCAAUGUGGCAAAUCUUGUAAGGUAGAUGAUGCAACUAGGACACAGUGAUAAACAAAUAGAUAGAAAAGUACUUAUAAAGCAUAAUGGGUUAUGAAAAUAGCAUAGUCUAUGCUUUCCAUAGUAGCAUUUCCAUCCACAAACUCCAUUUAGUCGUAAGUCAAAUCAAUAGAUUAUAAUGCCUUCUCCGUACAAUACUAUGGACAUCAUAAACUCCAAAAAUCAAUCACUCUUCAUUGGAAUGUUAAAAAAAGCCCUCGCCCUCAUCCCUAAAGGUAUUAGUUAAGCAUUCAAGAAUAUCCAGUACAUAUCUCGAGCCUUUUAAAAAUGUUAAAGAACAAAUAUAUUUAAAAAGGCAUCCAUAACAUAUCCUAGAAGUAUCUUUUAUGGACCAACUACUGAUAGCAUUCAUAUAACAUAUACAUAGCAUGAUAUAUUAUAUGACAAUGUUUUAAAAGAUUUAAGUGGCGGAAGGGAGGGCAGGCAGCACCUAGGGGCCAAGUAGGUGUCCACGUAUCAAGGCAGCCCAAAAAUAAUUAAUUAUAAAAAAUAAAUAUCAGGAGAAAUGUUUUAAAAAAAUCAAAACCAAGUAGAUGAAACAUAUCAUACAAGAUGUAGUAAGCGAAUGGGAAGUACCAGCUUGGCAACAAUGAUAAUAGUGUGUAAAUUCACAUCAUCCUCCAUAGACAUACUUGAUGCAAAAUGUUGAGGUGUGCGCCUAAUUAGGCUGUCUAGGCAGUUAAAUCUGUCAACUAGGAAGCAAAGGCAGCUAUCUUGUUAUGCAGAUUAAACUGUAUUUUCACAGUUUUACAUGCAUGAAAUAAUAGAAUGGAUUAGCAGAUCAACAUAAAAAAACAAACUAUGCUUAGUGAUAUGUCAUGUCUUGGACAGUCCAUACAGGUCAUAUUUGAGUGCUAGGUUAUCUACUCACCCACUAACUUUUAGCGUUCGAGACUAGAGAGUCAGUAUGCUAGCCUAUAUGAAAUUGUAUACAUUAAAAUAUAGAAUUCCUGCCUGUUCGCAUUCUUUCAUUCGUUUUUACUAGUGUUUGACACUUGAUGCAUGUGAGAUGAAACAUGGAUGGCUUUGAUCUUAUCGUUGUUGUAACUUGAUAAUAUGCACUCCCAUUUUGCUUGGUGCACUUACCAUGUUUUUGGACCUUAAAAGAGCAAGGAUUGAGCCAAUAGUAUUGUAUUAACCUAUUAAAAGGAGCAGUUAUAGUCAAAAUACCCAUUAGAAAAUUAAAUCUGACCUCAUUCUUUUAAUUAAAGCUAACAUUAUUCUUUUUUUGUUGUGUGGGAGUUAUUCUUGCUUUUCUGAUGCAUUAAUCAUCUGAGUGUUUCUAGCUUUUGUAGCUUUAAAAUAUCAUUUACGAAAAAACUAGAAAGAACCUGGAAAUUAGUAGUGAUAAAAUAGAUACAAAAUAGCCUCCAUUAGUUGGCCAUCUAAACCUUUGUUUUUCUAUCUAUGCCUUACAAAUGGAACUUCCAAAUGAUUGGUGCUUACCAUGAUAAUGAAAAUCUACUAAUAUAAAUUUGUUUAUUCUCGUCACAACUAGCCUGUCUUUUGUAACAUUCCCCAUAUAUUGUGCAUGACUUCCUGCCUUGUGGAACUUUUUGGUUACUUUGUUAUGAUCUCUUUUUUCCCUUAUAAAUGUAACUAUAAGCCUAACAAUGAAGCCUUGUCCUAGCUGUUUGACGUUAGCUUUAUCAGUACUUGUUACCCAUCAUCAAUCUAUGGCGAUCUUUUUCCCCCUUGCAGGAUGAAAUUUGCAAAUCUAUAUCUGAAAAUGGUGGCAUUGAUGCAACUCUCAAGUGUAUAGAUGACAGCAGUGAACAUAACGACAAGAUUAUAGCUAGAGCAUGUUGUUCUUUGAUGUCUAAGGUCAGAUGCCCUUGCUUCAUAAUUAACUCCGCUUAUUAAUGUCGAUUGCAUCUUCUAAUAUGCAACGAUACUAACUUAUAAUGAUUUUUUUCUGAUCGAAGCUGGCCGGAAGUGAUGCAAACAAGAAUGCUAUUGUUCAGAAGGGUGGUCUGGAUAGAUUAAUGAAACUAUCUUCCAGAUUUUCUGAAGAUCCAUCAGUUCUACAGGAGGUACUCUUUUAGUAUUACGUCUAUUGAAAAUUGAUCAAUUUAAGUAGUUCUUAACCAUGUAAUUUCUAUUGAUCAUGCUCCCUGUCCUUGAUACUAACGAUGGAAUUCUUAAUAUGCAGGUUAUGUCUAUUGUAACUGUGCUUUCACUAAGAUCCCCAGAGAAUGCAGCUCGUGCAAUAGAAGCUGGAGCUGGAGAUUUAGCUAUCCAAGCAAUGAAGAAGUUUCCUGCUUCAUAUCAAAUGCAAAGACAAUCUUGUCUUAUGAUUCGCAAUCUUGUGGUUAGGAAUCCAGAAAACAGGUAUGCUUUCAUUUUUUGAGAAACGUUAAUGCCACAUGUGACCAACAAAUUUUGAAUAAAUUUGUAUCCCAUCAUGAGCAGAACACCUUAUUCAUCUGAACUAAUUAGUUAUUUUUUGGAUUGGAGUAUUCUAACUUGAGCAAUUAGAUGUUCCUAGUACCUGUUUAGAAGUUCUUGUUGGGGUCAAUACUAAAUCCAGUAGUGUGGGUAAAAAAAUGUGGACACUCCAAACAAGGGAUACCAAAUGCUGGAGAGGUUCAUUGAAAAGACUUAAUAUUAUCCUUUAGCUAUCACAUUCUCCAAGGAUGCCAAGCUUCUUUUGGCUAAUUAGAGGAAUGAUUGCAACUUUGUAAGCGUCGUACCAAUCCUUGUAUGAAUGCUAUUCAGAUUUGAAAAGGAAAUGACCUAUAUUUUUUCAAAAAAUUCCUUAAAAAAGUGGGCCCUUGAAAAUUAGGUGAGCAAUUUCUUUAUUAUCGGGUGAAUUGCUUUCUGUAGCUUUCCUUGGAAUGAGGCAUCAACAAUCUGAAAUUUACACAUCAAAGAACGGGCUUCGACUCUACAGAAGAUCGUUUAUUAGGUGACAGAGUCCUAGUGGGUUAUGAAACCUUCACACCGAAUGGGAGUGAUGGGCGUAAUGUUUGUUGGACCUAUAAUAAGCACUUCAUGACUAAAGAGAAAAUUAGGUUGAUUAGUUUUGUUUCAUUUGAUAAUUUUAAUUCCACCAUUUUAUGGUAGUUGCUUUUGCCUUAGGUCAUGCAAAAGCCUCUUCUCUGCACUUUUAAGAUAAUUUUACUGUUUUGGGCAUCUAUAGGACCCUUCUCCUUGGUAAUGGCAUUGAGAAGCUCAUAAGGAAGGCCAAGGGAAGCCACGAGAUUUGCAAGGAUGCUGCAACUGCUGCACUGAGGGAUCUGGGUCUGAAUGACUACAAUGCAUAACCUGCAUCCGUUAGCAUGUCAGAUUACAAUGUUUUUUCUUCUUUUGCCCUUUACUCAAAUAUGCCAUACUGGAACUGGUGGCUUCAUUGUUAUGAACAAUGCAUCUUGAGUUCUUUAGAUCAAUUGGCUGCAUUCUGGUAUCAUUCCUUUUCAUAUUAAGAAAGCACAAUAUUUCCUUGGUACUUUCUUAAGAAAGAGUGGUUUUUGUAAACUGUAAGAACACCAUUUGAAGGACAGUCAGAUUUGGGGGAAAUUGAAACAUCAUUGUUUCACUACUUGAUUUAGUUUUGAAGAGAUUUUCCAUCCAAUUUAUAUAUCACAAAAGCCAAUAACUAUUAGCUCGGUUGGCACCUCUUCCCUGAGGGCUUGGCCCUUGGAGGAGAUCCAGCAUUAUAUUGCUCAAAAAAAAAAUCAAAAAAUGUAUGCAAACUAUCCUAAAAAUUAUUGAUGGCAUUUGGCAGUUACAUUAUAUCUUUUAUUAAAACUUGGUGGUUUAGGUUCCAUUGAAAGGUUGAUAAUGUUUUCUGGUUUCACAUGGACCAGACUGAUUCUCUACAAGCGAUCUGCACUUCUGAUUACAUAAGAACAGUUUCCUUCAAACAAAACAAACAUAAUUAAUGGCAGAAGAUAGACAUUGUUAGUUAUGUUGAAUGACAGUGUUGCUUGGUGAUAAGUUUAUACAUUGUCUUUUAUCUAUAUUUAUGAUUUUUUUGCACACUGAUUUUUCUUUGAGAAAAACAAUUAGAGACCUACGAAACUGUAUCUUGCAGGUUCCUUGCAUUACUGACAACAGUUGGGACAUCAUUAACUGCAGUAAUACAAGUCACUAUUUUCUUGUUAUUCAUCUUUGGGGAAAAAUUGACAUUCCCAUUGCAUUUACUUAUUCUCUUAUAGUUCUGCACGUUAUAUGUAUAUAAUAUUAUAUUAUGAUGUUGAUGAUAUAUAGCUAUGAUACUUUAGACUAUAAGCUAUUGUAAUGUCAUCCAAUAAUUAUACAAUUAAAAUUAUACUAAUAUUAUAUUAUGUCAAUAAACUAUAUCAUAUGCAAUAUAAUACUUUUAUAUUGGCAUUAUAUACAAUCAUAUGAUAUAAUACAAUUAAUACAUUAUAUUAUAUAUUAAAUAGUAAUAUAUAAUAAUUUUUAAUAAAAUAAUAUUAUUUAUUAUAGAUGUUUAAAGAGGAGAGAAAUGGUCAUGAUAACAAGUGGUGUCCAUGUUUUUUCUAGCCCCAUCCUUCAGGGCCUCUGUCGUGUUUUGCAUUUUGAUUAUUCAUAUCCAUAUCGGUUUAUUAAAAUAAAAAAAAAAAGGAGAAGAUGUUUUCUCAAUAUAUAUACCCAAGCAAAUAACAUGUAACUGAUAGGCCUUUUGUGAGGAGGGGUCCACAAUAAGAGAUAAUUAUUUUGCUUUUUAUUUUUUUCAAAGAAAGGAUGGGACACUUAUCUAUCUAUAUUAUAAUUAUCCAAGCCUAAAUAUUUGAAGAUGCAUCACUCAACACUCACUAAGAACCCUGCACGGCCCAGUUUGCAAGUCGUCAAGCACAUUUGCAUCAACCUUUACCCUAAUGAAACAAAGUUUACAGCAAAAGGUCAAACUCUGACAGUCAAUUACUUACUUCGAAGGCUACCCAUAAACAAUUAACUUAGAGCUAAGAACACAUACCUAGAAAGCUGACUUGCAACCUAUCCCAAGCUUUCACCGACAUUGCUGCCACUGAAGCCAUAGUUAACCAUUAUAAUAAUUUCGGUGGCCAAAAUUUGCCUCCCGAAGUAGUAUUUCAGACCUUCACUAUCAAAAUAAAAACUUUUUAUGGCUGCUAUUAAAUAACAACAUUGUAACGAAAAAAUAACAGGCCAUGAUAGGAAAGUAGUGUUAUUCCAUUCACUAAUUAUUGAAUAAAAUAUUAUUUUUAAUAUAAUAUAAUCUAUUUUGGAUUGAAAUUUGAUGUAGAAAAACAUGAACUUUGAAAAAGAAUAGUACUUAAUUUAGAUAAAGAGACGAGUGAAAUAAAAGCUACCAUUGGCAUUCCAACAAUCUGUUAUAAUACUGAAUAAUAUAUUAUAAUAGUGGUUAUUUUUCUAUAUAUAUAUAUCCACAUGAUAUAUAGGAUAGAGUUCAUAAGAGUGUAAUUUUUUAUUUCUAGACAUUUCAGUAUGUAAUUUAUUUCUAUAAAUCAGAACUUAGGAUAAAACAAAUUUGCUUCAUAUAAUGAUAAGAAAUAAAUAAUGAUGAUGAUCACUUAGGAUAUAAGAAAGCUACAAAAAGAGGAUGAGCAAGAACAAACAUGAAGCAUAUAAUAAAUUAUAUGAUAGACCAGACUAAAAUGCAAGCUACUGCCAUCUCGCAAGUUUCAAGUCCCCAUUACAAUCACGAACAUGUAACAUCUUUACUUGAACCAUAACGACAGGGUUGACAUGCAAGUGACAGGAUUGAAGCUCAAAAAGUCGCCCCCAAACUUCAGUUGCAAGAAUCCUUUUGAGUUCACAAAGCGCAGGAUAUGAAAGCAGUAACAGAAAUCAAUGGACACCAAAUCUCAACAUCAACAAAGCAAAUAUAAAUCAGAACUUGCAAAAUUAUCUGAUAGACACAAUGUGCGGUGAAAAGGGCGAUGGACUACCCCGAAAAGCACCAUCUUUAGAACAGCCCAAAAAGAGCAGAGAAAAAACCACAAAGCAACCUAAAUGGACCUGACUGCAAAGGCGGUAGAAAUAUGCCAGGACCAAGAAAAACCAAAUAAUUCAGGACCAUAAAUAUGCCAUACAAAAUUAUAAAAGCUAAGCUCUGAGGAUGCACCAAACCCAGCCAAAUGAGAUUUAUAAAUCCGCCAGCAACAUAAAGGAUUAACAAAAAGGGUGAGAUAGAUAAGUUGAAGGAAUGAGUAAAUGUCCAGAAUAAACAAUCAAGUUCAACAAAAGUACGAAAGUUUUGUUUUUUGUGCAGAACCUAAUGGAAUAUUUGAAAUGGCAAAGUCUAAGCAUCCCUCAUCUAAACAGCCUAUUACUACAAAGUCUUGAUGCAGCUCCAACUAAUUUUAAGAAAAAAUGGUUCAAGCUUUUUCCUUUUUCUGUAUAUAUCCAUCUCAAGGGAUCUGGAUUUUUUUCUUCAGUCCCAAUUAUAUACCUGCAGAUAAGAGCGCGCGCAACAAAAAAAAAAAAAGUUAUAAUGAACAAAAAAAAAGUCUAGUCAGAUCAUUUUAUGCAAAGCAACUAUAAUGAAUAAACAACAAAUACCUGAACCUUCCUAUGCUGAAUGAAGACCUGCUAUAUUUUGCCCACUUGCCAAAAGAUUUCAUGUAAAUUUUUUAGAGCUGAAUUUCCUUCAGCAAUGUUUGUCCUGCAAAGAAGAAAACACCCAAAGACAUAAAGUCAGCUACUGCAAAUAUAUUACCAUUAUAUUUAUGCUUUCUUCAAAGGUUUUCACUAUUGCAAGUGUUAAUAAUCAUUGUUUGAGAAUAUAGACACUUCUCUUAAAGUUAAAGAACCAAGACAUCACAACCUCAUUAUUUGCAUCUGAUUUUACUGAGACUUGGAACAUUCUGGAAUAAGCCUUUCGCUCUUGAUCCCGCCUAUCAGCAAUCUGUCAACAGUUUUAACUCAUCAAAUCAUGCCUAGAACUAAAGUAUACUUGAAUGAAGUGCACUUGAUCGUUCUCACCUUCUUCUUUGCAGCAGCAAGCUCUUUUUUUAUGCCUCCUAAUAAAUACCGCAAACCAAUCAACAACUUACCAAUUGCAUGUAUAAAACUGAAAGAAAGUAAACAAACUAAGGAAAAGCCACUAACCAUCAUUUGGCUCUAACUCUAGUGCUUUCUUGAAACUUUCGACUGCAGCAUCCACAUCAUUAAGUGACACGUGUGCCUGAUCAGUUUACAAGGUAAUAACUUAGGCCAUCCAUGACUUGCAAACAAACAAAAAAUGAAGUCUCUUGUAUCUAACUACAUGUACAUGUAAAUCUAGAUAUCAUGUCAGUAUACAUUCUAUCAUUGUUAAAUGCAUGAAUGGCUGCAUCAUAUACGACAAAUAUCCCAGCAACAGUAGAGAUCUGGUAUGAAUCAGGAUCCAAACCAAGGAAAAACCACUACGCAUCGGGUUGCAUUGGGACUUAUCCGGUUCAGGUCCAGGCCAAAUUUUAGUGUGAGCCAACCCAAGAUUCUCUCUUGCAAAUAUCAGGUCAUUUUAUCAUGGCAAAAUAAGAUGUUAACUUACCUGCAGAGUUCAGCUACUUGAAAAACAUUUAUUCUUAGAUUACAAUAGAAGUUUCAUGCAAUACUUCAGCCAAACCAUAAAGCCAUUCCAGAAAUUCUUUUGUGAAAAAUAUAAUAAGUAGAAAUAAGCAAUCCAUAUCUUAGGUGCAACUUGCAUUAUAGUUAACAAGGUGGCAUCUAAAGAUGUCCAAAACUCCUGCAUAGCUAUCUUUCCCAUGAAGUAGAAAAUAUUUUUUUUAUUCACUAGAAAGAUGAUAUAGUAUAACAAUAACUGGUUCUGAAUAUUCUGCAGAAUAAGGCUCGGACUACCAAAACAAUCUGAGACUGGAGAACGAUAUCAUAUCUUUAAUAUAAAUAGUGGUCAUCAGAUGGAAGAUAAUAACCUGGCCUUGGCGGUAAUAUGCUUUGGCAUUGCCCUCUCUUUCACGCAAUGCAAAGUCAGCAUCUAAUAGGGCGCUUUUGGGAUCUCCUACUUUCAAUUUGCAAGCCUAAAACACAGAGUUCAAGAAAAUAAAAGCAAUUAGUUAAAACUAAACUUGUGAAACUUAUAUAGUUACCAAGAAGCCCCAUAAACAAAAUCCACACUUCCUCAAUAGAAUGCAAUUUGCUGCAAUUAGUCAAAAAGACAAAUAUUUAGUUAGAAUAAUAAAAUGUGCACUUCAAGCUGUUCAACUAAGCAGCUUAGUUAUAUUGGUCAUCAAUCUCCUGGUAGAACAUGGUGAACAAUCUAAGACCAGAUGCUAUGCAAGCAAAGGUGCAGCGCAGUAGCAUUCCCACGUCCUGCUAUGAAUCAAACCAAAGAAAACAUUAAUAUCAACUUCAAGUUAAUGGCCCUUACUAAGGUGUUCCUUACCUAUCAUAAUUGGGCCACCUUGCCAAUUGUAUUCAAAAGGACCUUCCAAAAUAACUUCCUAAACAUCAUCUGCGGUAGCUCUUUCGCUCUAAAAGAUAAAUAUUUCCUAUAAAAUCCGGGAGGGGAUUGCAGAUCAGCUGGUGUUGUUGGCAUUGGCAAGAGCCAGAACUUGCCAGGCUAGCUACGUAGAAACAGGAUAGGGACAGAUGUUAUUGAGGAGCUGUUUUGUAGUUUAUGUGCUUCAGUUUCUACAGGACCAAAUUAGUUAGCAUACUGUGGAGUUAAUCAAAUAAUGACAGCCUCCACCUUGGCACACAAAACUUCAUCACAACAUGAUGCAGUUGCAAGAUCAGAAGAAGGUAAGAAAUGUCUACAAGGACAGGAAAAUCGUAGCAUGCUGGUAGGCCAAUCAUGCUUGCAAUCUUAAUGUCCCCUUGUGUUGAAACAGGUGCAAUGUCAAUGGACCUUUCUCCUAGUUUAUUGGUAUUAACUUAUGAUGAAAACUAUAAUCUUUGUGCAUUGAUCAUAAAGCCAUAGAACACUCUAUUCCACAUACACACACACAAAUACCGAAAUUAAAAAUACACAAAUAAAUAAAUACCUAGAAUCUAAUAAUGAAGUUGCACAUUGACUUUAAAGAUGCAAAAAGGAUAAAGGAUGUGCCAUUGGUAGACUAGGUUGAAUGUUAGAAGAGUUACAGUACCAGUCACAUCAAGUUUAUACUUAAAACAACCUGAAUCCCAAUAUAGAAACCCCUCUCAUAUUCUCCUCUCAGACACAGCCUCCUCAAUGCACACUCUCCUCUAGAAUUGAGCACUGAGCACCAGGAAGCAAUUUGUGGAUAAUGCCUGACAGACAGUGGAUCAGUGAAAAUGAUGAACCGAGGCAGCAUGCCUGGGUUCUCUCCCUCUCCCUCUAUUUUGUUAAUCUAUCUGGAGUAGGGUUAGCCUAAUAUUCAUUUGCAAGUAAUGAAUGAACUAAUGAGUUGGCUCAGAGGUUAGAGUUGGUUUCAGGUGAGUCCAGCCGAACCCAAACUGAAAUCAGUCCCAACAUAUGUUGAGUAAACCAGAGAUGAAGUAUUAAAGGAUGGAAAUAAAAGAUGCACCACACAUGAUGUUAGAUUCCGAUGACAACUUACUUCAAUAUGUUUGGUAGAGAAUUCUUGCAGAAUUUAAAGGUAACUGACAUCCAAAAGAUAAUCAAGGAAACAAGAAAUCUAAAGCACGGAAACAGAAUGUAGAGAUGGAAACAAAAGGAUCUUGGAAGAUGCUAAAGAGAUAACAAUGAUGCAGAAGAAAGUUAAAAUAAGGUUGACUUUUUGGCUUUAAUUCUACAUGCUAAAUUUGCUAAAAACAAGAAAGGAAAUAAAAAAUACUUAACAAGAUCGAGUUCAAAAAACCAGAGAUACAAAUUAUAGUGCACGAAGAGUGAGAAAAAACAAUCUUGGUGAAAGUAGCUCAAUUAAGUAAAGAUGCACAUGUUACUUCAGUUUUCUUUUCUCUUUUUUUUUGGAGGGAAGUGACUUCACUUAUAUUUAUUCAAAGUGAGAAAGAACUUAUGACAGCUCGCUUAUUACACAAGCUUAGUUGACCAAAAACAAAGAAUUUCUAGUUUAAUGGCAAGAACAAAAAUCAGGAAACUUCUUUGUGUAUAGGAUAAGAUGGACAAAAUAUAUGAAGAAAGAAAUGCAAGGAGAUAGCAUCCUAAAGACAAUGCUACAAUGGAAAAUUUUGUGAACUAGUAAAAUCAUUCAUUGUUGUGAACACUUAGAGAAAGAACAGAAUAAAUGCUUCAUCACUAGAUUCACUGUCCCAGUGAAAAAAAAAACACACAUAAAAAAGAACAAAAUAUGUGCUUGUUACUAGCUCCCAGUAUCAAUGAAGUUCAAUCUACAAAAAGUGUGAACUUAUUCAUCUGAUGAAAUGGUUCUUUAACUCAAGAAUUGUUUGGUGAAUAAUGACCUAGAAACUUAGGAUUCCCAAAACAUUCAAAUCUUAUGUCUCUUUUCACGUAAUGGAUUGAACAAGAAUAUAUCACAUUAAUCUAAGCUGAGUAUUGGCAACCACAACUUAACAUCAACACUACAAUUUUUUCAAACCCAUGCAGGUUGAAACAGUGCCUACCUUCCAAUUGCUAUCCUAGAGUACAUGACAAUUCCCUCUUGCCCAUGGUAAGUGGUCAUGAAUUCAACAUUAGCUCACAAGACAUGAACUAUUAAUGCUACUUGCAGAGUAAAUCAUAUCAAACACUACACAGACUGAAUACUACUUGCUUAUUGAGGUUAAAGUCAAUAGACAUUAAGGAACUUAUUGAGAUUAAGCAAACAGUGGAUGUUUCAUUUUGAAUAAUCAAUUCAAAAAUUAUACAUAUAAGAAUAAAAAAAGAAACUGUCAAAACUACAAAAGCUUACAGAACUAUUUGUGAGUAUAAUUGAUUUUGUCUUCCGCAACAAUGAACUCUUCUCUGGGAAGCCACAAAAAGAUAGGGAGAAUGAGCAACCAAGCAACUGAGCAAGUGUGUGCAUGUGUGUGUGUGUGUGAGAGAGAGAGAGAGGGAGAAGGGGGGCAUAGAGAGAGAGAGAGUUUUAGUGCCAAAUAUAUGCUUGCCUUCAUCAAUCUCUUCUUUCUCCCAGCAAAUAUCCAAGUAGCGCAGAGCCUUACGAUACUUUCUAAGAGCCAUCUUAAAGUCAUGCUUCUGCUUGAAUCAAAAGAUUUUAAAUUUAAAAUGAGUAAUUUGAUAUCCAACAAAACAAAGUGGAAGAAGAUACAGAUAACUUUCAAUACUAACAUUCUUUUGAAACAUUACAAUGAUGACAUAGACAAUUGAAAGGCUAGUAAGAUGCAUAAAUAUCAAGGGGUAUGCAAUAAAAACACAUUAUAUUACUUUCGCAAUGGAAAACAAAUUAAAGCAAACCUGAUAAAACAAAAUUUAAAGCUAAACGUUCUACGUAAUCCAGUUGAAAUAUAAAUAUUAAAAUAAAUAAAAAUCAAGGUUUAUAACAAAAUUGACCUUGAAGUAAUCAUUUCCAAAAACCUUAGCAGAGUCCACAGCAUUUAUCCACCAUGAAAGCUCACUUGGCUUCUCAUCAAGGUCAUUGGGCCAAUCUGGAUACAUAUCACCAUCUUUGAAGAAAUUUGAAACUCCAUCAUCAGCCCCUUCAGAAAGCUCUCCACAAUCCGCAAUUAUUACAUCAAUGGUGGGAUAAUCACCAUCUCCAACAGGCGUAUGCUCAAUCGACCGAACGACUCCCAUACCCUUAACCACCUUCCCAAACACAACAUGCCUUCCAUCUAGAUGAGAUGUUCUAGUGGUAGUAAUAAAGAAUUGAGAGCCAUUGGUGUUGGAGCCAGAAUUUGCCAUUGAUAGCAUUCCUUUUCUUUCAUGUUUCAAUUCAAAGUUCUCAUCCUCAAAUUUUAGUCCAUAUAUGGAUUCUCCUCCAGUUCCAUCACCCGCGGUUGUAUCGCCACCUUGUAUCAUAAAACCUUUGAUAACACGAUGAAAACGUGUACCCUGAAGAAAAAAAGUUAAAAAUUACUAUAUACACCAACUUUUGUAUAGAUCAAAACAGCAGAAAGACAGUAAAGUUCAGUUAUAUGCAUUUUGUUUUUUUUUAAAUUAAUUUACAAUAGAUCAAGGUGAAAAAAAAACAAUGGAGAAAUGCAUGUUAACUCAGUUAAAUUUAUUAAAAGAAAUGAUUUGACUACUGAAUCACAAAAACUCUUUGAAUGAUAUUAAGAAUAUAAACAGUUUCACCUUCCAAUAGCAUGUAGGGAGUAAGUGAAAAAAAGUUGUGCAACAGUCAAAGUGCUGACUGAAAAAUGAGUUUCAAUAUGGUCAAACAUAAUGGAAAUAUAAUAGUAAAACAAGCAUAGAUACAACAAGCCUCAUAUCAUCAAUUAAGUAGACUCUACAUCAAAUUAGUUCCUAUUGAAGGCCAAAACCUAUAAAACAGUAAGUGGCUUCAAGACAUUUCUCAGUACCUCCAUCCAAGCCUCGCCAUUACAUAUCAAUAAUUUAUGUCAGCACAAUCUCUUCACUCAUGCAAGCGCUCCAAAAAAUAUCAGUGAAAAAAAUUUGAAGUUAACAGUUUUGAUCCUUAUCAAAUUGCUCUCUCACUCCACUACUAUGCAGUAUUAAAUGAAACACAACCAUGUGAAGCAUGUCAAAUCAAUAUGGCAAAAAUUCGUACAGAUUGUUUAAGAUGAUAAAGAACAUGAGAACAAUAGGUUGUACGCAAGAUUUGAGAGUGACGAGAUGACAUACCUAUAUAUUGGAUAUUGGGAGAAUGAUGAUUUUACAGGGCAUGCAUUCACCUAGCCUAUCAGAUAUUAAAGCCUAUGAAAAGAUCUGAAGCCUAACAGUAGAUUAAAGCCUCUCAUAUCUUCCAAUAAGGCAACUAACCAGCAGAUUAGCUGGCACAUGUAGGAAUUGCCUCCAACUGAAAAGAAAGUUCGGAACAGCAAUCACCAACCUAAGAAGUUAAAACAGGUGCAUGCUGACUUUUUGGGUGAAUUUGUCAUACGGUGCUGUUUUGUUUCGGUAUUCUAGGCCUUUUUUAUACAAAAAAAUGCAAUAACAGUUUGUUAUCAAUCAUAAAUUUUUGAAAAUUACUAAUAGUGGAAUGAAAUAAUGUAAUGAACUGAAGAAAAUCACACAUAAAAAUACAAGCUUCCUUAAACAUACACACACAAAAAAAAAAAACCGUCUUACCUUUUCUACUGUCUCGAAAUAUUAGUAUUCAAUUAAGAAGUUAGGUCACCGUAAGUAUAAUACAGUGCUUAUGUACCAGAAGCAUGUAUGGCUGUGGUGUUGAUGCCGGACAGCAGGGGAAGGAAGAAGAAUAAGAGAAGGAGAGAGGAGGAAGGAAGAGAAGAGAGAAAAGAGAGGAGGAGGAAAGAAACUAGGCUUCACACCUAACUCUUGCUCUUGGCUUCACAACAGAGCUGAAAGAAAGAGAAUCAUUUUUUUUAUUCAUAGCAUACCCUAAACAAUGUACGGUCCAACAUAUUUAUAAGACCCAGAAAAUACAAAAGACCCCAAAAAAAACUAGUCUUACAAAAGACCCUCAAAAUAACGAAAUACCAAAAAUAAACCCUAAAGGCUGUCAAAUAACGAAAUACCAAAAUAAGUCCUAAAGGCUGUCAAAUAACAAAAUAUCUUAAUAAGCCCAAAUAACAUAAAAUCACUCCAAAAUAAAAUCAAACUGACUGGACUAUCCUCCUGCGGCGACUAUAGAUCCGAGUGACGGGCGAUCUGGCAUUGGCGUCCGCACUAGCUCCCCCUAGGUGGGAAGAAGUCAACCUCAACGAACACGACCCGAUGUAGCUUCGGUAGUACUCCAAUAGGCCCGGGUCAAUCCGCUGAAACUCCUCGCGCGUGAUCCAAGUGGAGUUGGACUCUGGUCAUCCUCGCGAACAAAUCAAGAAGCGCUGGAGGCUUCCAUAACUGGUAAAAACUGUUUGAUCGUCUAAAAUAGCAUCAAUAUGUUCUUUUUGUGCUCGUUGAAGGGACCAAGGAAUCGAAGCUAGUAUGGAAUCAAUAAUAGGGAAAUCAACAGGCUCAGGAGAGGGCUCGGCAAAAGGGUCAUCGGGGAUUGUUGGUGGGCCUUUAUAAGCAACCAAAUCUUCAACAUUAAAAGUCGGGCUAAUACCAAAAUCAGAGGGGAGGUCAAUGACAUAUGCAUUGGUGUCAACCCUGUGCAACACCCUGAAUAGCCCAACACUAUGAGCCUACAAUUUUUUAACGGUUCCAAAAAGAAACCGCUCUAGCUGAAUACAGAUCAUUACGUAAUUCCUAGUUUGAAAUUCCUUAGCAUAAGAAUCAGCUUGCAUCUUAUAUUGAGCAUAACAUGCAUGAAUGUGCUUGUGGACUUUCUAAUGCAACUUAUAAAUGUGUUGUGCAAAUGCAUGUGCAAACUCAGAAAUCAUAACAUGGGGUGAAAUGGAUAAGAGAUCUAGAGGUUUUCUAGCUUCAUAACCAUGCACUACCUCAAAUGGACUCAUGCCUAUAGACCUGUUGACUGAAUUAUAGGGGUGAACCUUUUUGACAAGGAGAGUGAACACCAAAAAUUUGUUGAACACUUUCCGCUCAAAUUCAGCUGGACAUCGGAUAUGAAGAUCCUUGUCCUUUGACACUUCUCUUGUUCUUGUCAGGUGGCUUGGGCGGCAAAGGAUUGAGCUUAAUCUUUUUGCCCUCGAACAUCAAAGAACAAGAAUUGGAUUGACCAGAGAUGGUGAUAUUAAGGUCGAACAACCAGAGUCUCUCUAAAAUUAAAUGUCCUACAUCCAUCGAGAUUACGUUACACCAUAUGAUGCUCUUGUAAGAAAGGAUGNNNNNNNNNNNNNNNNNNNNCUCUUGUUCUUGUCAGGUGGCUUGGGCGGCAAAGGAUUGAGCUUAAUCUUUUUGCCCUCGAACAUCAAAGAACAAGAAUUGGAUUGACCAGAGAUGGUGAUAUUAAGGUCGAACAACCAGAGUCUCUCUAAAAUUAAAUGUCCUACAUCCAUCGAGAUUACGUUACACCAUAUGAUGCUCUUGUAAGAAAGGAUGUGAAUGGGCACAAGACAUCUCUCUUUAAUACAAAUAGAAGUUGUGUCAAUCCAAGAGACCUUAUAAGAUUGUGGUUGGAGAACAGGAGUCAAAUCUAAGCGAAAGACGAUGUUGGAGGAUAUUGCAUUAAUACAACUCCCGCUAUCGAUGAUGGCCUUACAAUCUCUCUUCGCAUUUAAUAUAAGUAUGGAAAAUUGAGGUUCUUUUCCAGUCAUCAGUUUCGUCGGGUUGUGCCGAGGCGCAUCUGACUACACUCAUGGUGAACUGGUCAAACUCUCUCUGACUGUGCAAAUGAUAUAGGUGUAGUGCGGAUGCAUCCUAGGGUAUUAGGUCCUUCAUCACACUCUUCCUCAAUGUUCUGAAUGUCACCGAGGUUUGGUUCAUAGACAUGCUCCUCCAAGUUAUCUGUGUCACCUCCCUGCUCUUGCUAAGCAAUAACGAGAGAUUUGUUAGCACAUUAGGAGGCAACGUGACCAAAACCUUGGCAUUUGUAGCACUGAAUUUUGAAAUGUGGUUUGGGAAGCUUACCAAGGAUUUUUUUGUCUUUAGUGUCUCAGCUUGGGACAAGGGCAGUAGGAGAGGGUCUAGAGAUAGAGGACACCCAACAAAAGGUUUGGGCCCUGAAGAAUUAAGAUCCGUGGAAAUGCCCCGAAUGUCAGGGCGCCUCACAAACAUAGACUUGGAGACUUGCUCAUAGUUCAGUACGAAUGUAUAGACCUAGUUUAACGUGGACACCUCUCGGAGGACAAGUUCCUUCCUAAGUUUAUCAUUGAAACCUCUACGGAACCGGCUCAGGACCAUUCUCUCAUCCUCAAUCACAUUACAUCGCAUCAUGUAUUCUCAAAUUGUGCGAUGUAGUCAGUAAUUGAUCAGGUGCCUUGUCUUAAGUUAUUCCAUCAGUCAAGGAGAUCAUCUUGGUAGCUAAGGGGCAAGUAUUUUUUCUUAAGUUUUUCCUUCAUUUCUAUCCAAUCAGUUAUGGCAGGUUGACGUCUCCUAGCCAGGAGAUGCUCAGUGUUUUGCCAGAAAAGCUUAGCUCGACCGAUGAGUUUCAUUCUGGCAAACCGGACCUUCUUUUCUUCAGACAAAUUAUUCCACUCAAAGAAGUCUAUUUCGUGCAACCAGUCUGUGAAGACCUUUGGGUUAAGGCGACCAUUAAAGGUAGGGGCUUCAAUCCGAAUGCUUUUUAUCACAUCUUCAUUAUGGUCAUAAGGCUCUCUAGGUUCUACAUUAUGGCGAUAACCCUUAUCGACAUUAGGGACUGGACUCGGUCCUCUAUAGCGAGGGUAGGUUAGAGGGCUGCCUGGAACGGAAUUAGGGUCAAAGUGGCCCUGCCGCACAAAUCCUAGAUGGUCUAGGAUUUCAUCCUCGAUCUCUAGGCCUUCCAAAUGGAAGGCACUCCCUUCUUUGGAUCCCAUAAUCCUCUGAAGGGAAGCCUUAGCUGAGUCUAGCCGGGCGCAGGCCUGGGUGGACACUGUGGUCAAGUCUUGGACAAUCUUUAGCAAGGCUUCGAUGUUGGGAUUCAUAGCCAGUUGGGAUUCUAACUGGAAGACAACACGACCAGUACAAAGGUGUAUAUAAUGUGUGCAAAGGUAUGCGUGGCCCUACAAUGCUAAGACAGUGGUAAUUCCUAGGCAGACCUAAUGCAUAAAAAUGAUGCCUAAAGCGCAAUGUAUAUGCUCAAUAUAAACGGAAAGCUAAUCCGUAGCAAAUGAAAUCAAGCUUAAAAUUUUGUAAUAAAUGCAGGCAAGUAAUUGCAGUCAAAUAGUGCAAGUUUUCUGUGUGUUGCAGGGUUGCAUGGAGCCUCAAAGAACUCCCAAAGAUUCGGUAGCCCUACAAUUAAUGACAAAAAUGAGCCACUACAAGGGUUUUAGGAUUGUCUGGGGUGUAUGUGUUGAAUUCACAGCAAACUAAGUUGAUAGAGCACAAGAGUUUAUUGAUGCUGAAUUUAGACGAACAAAAAGAUUUUUCAGUAGGAAAAGAAACCUGGGCUGGGGCGACAAUCAGAGACGCAGUCGCAGCAAGUAGGCUCAUCAAAUGGCUCCAACUCGUAUCUGAUCAUAGAAACUCGACGAGCUUGAUCCCAGCAACUCGUGGGGCUUUAUCAAAGCAGCUUGGUGGGCCUAAUGGCAGCGGCCCAUUGGAUUAGAAGAGAGGUGGGGAGUGGGGUGAUCAGGCCUGAUGGGCCUGCGGGCUAGAAGAGGAGAAAGGGGGUGAUCAGGUCUGAUGGGCCUGUGGGUUGUGCGGUGCGGGCCUGAUGGGCCGCAGAUUAGAAGAAGAGACAGGAGGGGAAGAUGUAGGCAUACAGUAUGGGCCUGAUGGGCCGUGGAAUAGCAAAAGGGGGAGGGGGUGGUUUGGGAGGUGAAGUAGUGGGUUGCGGUAGGUUCAAAGCCAAACCCUUGAUUUCACAGAGGAAAAGGUCGGGUGUCGAGAGUUGUGAAGAGCUCUCAGUUCGAAUCGCAACGGGGAAGAAAGGAGCGGUGGAAAAAGAAUUGGAAGGGAAGAGGGAACUUAGCGGCGGAGCUGGACGGCGGCGAUGAAGUAGGGGAGGGCAAGGUGAGGCGGAGAGGGUGGAGGCGGAAAACGGCGGGGCUGAAGCGGCGAGAGAGGUGGCGAAGCAGGGCGGCGUUGUGGGUGGUGAUCGAGUCGCUGGGACCCUUAAAGGGGUGGCAAUGGGUUCGGACGGCGAGUGAGGGGAAAAAGAAGGCGGAGGCGGCGGUGGUGGAGAUGGCGAAGUGGAGGCGGCAAAGACGGUUGCGGGACAGCAAGGGCGGUGGCAGCGAGGGCAGGGCGGCGCUGUGUGCGACGAUGAACAGGUAUUUUUUUUGGAGGGAUCCGAUAGGAUUCAAGUUAUCGGACGCGACCCACUCCAAUAACCCACACGGGUCCACAUGCAUAACUUAAGGGUCACGUGCCCUCUUUUUUUUUCUUUUCUUUUUUCCUUUUUUUUUCCGACGGAAUAGACUCGGGUUAACGGGCACGACCGCUCCGGUAACCCAUUCCUAUUCCAGCUCCUUCAUGGAGGCUUUGAGGGGAAGGAAUUGCAGGUGGUUUCCUACUUCUGUGGCUACGGUGGUGAGGCGCGGCGACGCUUGCUAAAGGAGAAAGCAGUGACGGGCGCUCGGGAGCGGCGCGCGACGGCAGUGGCAAAGCACACGGGCGCGGUUCUUCACCGGCCGUCCCAGGCUUCCUCAUUCUAUUUCUUUUUUUGGUUUCUUCGCGACCUUCAAGAAAGAACUCACGGAGAGAUGAGUUUUGACUUGGGGAAGGAAGCAAACUUGGCAUUUUUGCAGCUGGGGAGAAGACGCCUAAUCCACUCUCACGUGAAGCAGAUCACCCACGACAGAAACAUUUUUGUUUUGUUUGCUGGGCUCUGAUACCAAUGCUGAUGCCGGACAGUAGGGGAAGGAAGAAAAAUAAGAGGAAGGGAAGAGGGAAAAGAGAGGAAGGAGAGGAAGGGAACUGGGCUUCAUACAUAUCUCUUGUUCUUGGCUUCACACCAAGGCUAAAAGAAAGAGAAUCAAUUUUUUUUAUUCAUAGCAUACCUUAAACAAUGUAUGGUCCAAACAUAUUUGUAAGACCCAGAAAAUGCAAAAAAUUCCUAAAAGAAACUAGUCUCACAAAAGACCCUCAAAAUAACGAAAUACCAAAAAUAAGCCCUAAAGACUGUCAAAUAAUGAAAUACCAAAAUAAGCCCUAAAGGCUGUCAAAUAACAAAAUACCCUAAUAAGCCCAAAUAAUAUAAAAUCACUCUAAAAUAAAAUCAAACUGGCUGGACCAUCCUCCUGCGGCGAUUGUAGAUCCGAGUGACGGGUGAUCUGGCAUUGGUGUUCGCACCAGGUGUGAGUGCAAGAGCAGAUUCAGAUGUGUGUGUGCGGGGAAGUGGGUCUCUUAAAACAUUUUCUAAUAACAAAGUGGGCUUGAGGACAAGUUUCCAAGGAGAUCCUGAAGCAGGUGUGGCACCCUAAGCAAAAGAUUCCUACUACUAAGAUUUAGUGGGCCUUAAACUAUCAAACUCAUCUUGCAAGUCAAUUUAAUAGCUUCCAAGUCAGAAAUGAUUCAAUAUUCCCCAGUCCAAUUAUUGGAUCAUUUUAUCAUUUAUUUGGCAUGCAAUCCAUUUCCUUUGAUAUGCUAUCACUAAGUUCCUGCCCUUUUAAAUGUCAAUGUCAAGGGAAUGCUAAGAUGUUGGUGGUCAAAGAUAAGAUGACAUCGGUGAAAGCUAAGAAGAUGUUGGUGAAAACUUUAAUUGUGUCCAUGAUAGAAGUCAAACAAUUAGGUUGGUAAUAAAUUGCAACGGAUGUCAUAGGAGUACAAUCAUUUUAAAUAUUCCUUAAUGGCUUCAAUAACAAGCUCAAGCUCAAUGGUGUAAGUACAUACAUAGACCUACUCUUAGAUGGCAACAUAAAUUGCAUCAUGAAGCAUGAUGUACAUAUAACAUAUAGAUAUAACUGAUAGAUACAUAUAGACGCAUGUCUGCAUACAUAUAUCCAUGGGUAUACACACUUUUAUUUAUAGCAAAAUCUAAGGUGUUUAACUUUUUCCUUGUUAAAUUAUAUUAUUGUAGUGAAAUUUCAAUAUCUGCGUAUACUUAGUAAAGCUCUUUUAAUUGACAUGACACAUACUAUUAUCCCAACUUCCUCACUCCAAAUCAAUGAGUUGUCAUUUAAACGCUAAUCCAUUAAAAAUGGAAGUAAAAAAGGAAUAUAUGUCAAACAAAUAACAGUAAUUGACGCAAAUAACAUUGCUACUAUUGAUAAACUCAUUAUGGGGAAAUACAUUCUUGAACAAAACAUUGUUAAGAACAGCAACAUUCCAAGGGAGCCAGCUUGUUGACUUGGUGAUGUCUCUAAUGGUGGAUCUCUUGACCUAAGAGACCUGGGUUCAAUCCUGCCCUCGAUGCUGAUUUUCAGCCAAGGUUCCAAUAUUCUAGUUCCCAACUAAAAUUAUAAAAAAAUUAAGAGGAAGAAAUGAGUUCCUUUAGUAUACACUAACGAACCAUUUACAUAUGCAUUUAUAAAUCAUAUUAAUUGCAUACUAUUGUAAGAGAAACAUGCAAGACUAUAUGAUUAAGAAGACCAAUGCAUUAAUGAUAUAUAUUUAUUGAACAUGAACUUGUGAAGACCAUCUAAAAAGGGAAGAAAAUUGGUACAUUGAACAUAUACAUCAACAAAUUAUACAAUGCUUAAUUUAAAAAUAAAUAUUCCUUAACUCAUUUAUAUAAAAUUACAAUUUGCUACUUUUAGAAUGUUGCUUUUGAAAUAAAAUGGCACCCAUCUAUCUUGAAGGAAAUGUUCUUUCUUAAUCCACCCAAUUUCAAACUCGGCACAACUAAUUAAAUCUAGCAUGAUAUGGCCAAACAUUCCUAUAUCAAAUUGACCCACCUUAGUCGCCUUUUAAUAAUUUUAAAAAAAAAGAAAAGAGAAAAUAUCCGUGAGCUCUAGAUUUCUCUGUUCCCCCAUCAACCCUAUUAGGAUAGAAGAAAAUCCAAGCCCAUGUGAUUAAAAAAAUUAAUAGCGAAAGACAACAUGCCAUGACCUCAACACAAAAAUCACAAGAUCAAGAAUAGCCUCAAUCCCAAGUUCUUUGAAAUCCGAUGGCAAGAAAGAGUGAGAGAAUUAUGGAAGUACCCCAUAGUGAAUUGGGAUCCCAAUAUUGGGACCCAUGCCUUUCUCUCAAGUGCAUAAUGCUUUAAAGUUCUCUUAGUUCUUGGGAACCACCCCAGUGAAGAGAUCUCCUACAAUCCUCUCCAUCUCCCCUUCAUGCUAAUGUCUACAUAGCACCCAAGGCUUGCCACACACUUCCCAUUAGGUCCAUCCAAUUCCCCUCUCCCCAACAAGAAGACAAACUAAAAGAAAGAAAUUAAAGAACCUAAGGAAUCAUAUUACCUCUUUUCAAGCUCUCUAGGAACCCCCUUAACAGUACUGCUUUUUACUCAAACCAAAGUAUUAUGCCAUGAGGGGAGACUGAUUUGGGAAAUGUUAUGAGCACGUAACAGGAAACAAUGGUUAAGAAAAAUUCCUAACUCAAUAAACAAGAAACGUGAUCUUAAACAAGAAUAUUUAAAGAGAAUAUAUAUAUAUAUAUGUAUAUAUAUGCAAAAUACGAAAAAUCUAAUAAAAACAACAAAAAGAACUAGUUUUUAUUGGAUUCUCAUUAGUUUUUAUAAAUACGGGUUGAUUUACUAGCAAUCAUAAAUUAGAUAUAUAGAAAUCUCUCCCCCUUAUGACAUACCAUGAUAAGAUUGAUUUUAUCAAAUCUAUCAAAGAGAUUAUUUAAAUUCCUUAUCCACUCAAAAUGCUAGUUCUAUUUUUCUUUCCCUUAUUUAUUCUCACAAAGUUUUCUAGACACUUGCUAUGUGCUUUAGAGCACAUUUCCCUACAAAAUAAGAUUUAUUUGUGGAUUUGAUUUCCCAGGAAACUCCAAGGGAAGUGGGAAACUCAUUUCCCAAUGAAUAUGAUCCAAAGCACCCCUCUUUGAUGACAAAGUAAGCUAUUGAGUUAAGGCUAUUGCAUGGAGCUAUUGCAAUUCUCUGGAACUUUUAUUUUAGUCUAUUGACAUGAUUUUGUGUCUAUAUAUAAGAUGUGAUGAACUAAUGUUAGAUGCCCUUCUUGCUAAGUUUCUUUAAUACUUUAAUGGUGUGAUGAGUCGAUGAAGGGAGUGCUUUGGCCAUGUAGCAUCAUUCUUCAUCAAAAAAUUAUCUGGUCAUGUAUUAUGGAUUAGUUUGAAAAGAAAUUGUCACUACUUAGCAUGGCAUCAUUCACUGUCAAGAUGAUGCUAGCAAAAUUAACUUAUAAGUUGUUAGCUAAUGUGUUGUUACAGUAAAAAGAAAUAUUGAAAUUGCAUGAGCAAGCUAUUAUUAACCAAUAUGGGAUAUCACCAACUUCAUGUUUGCUGGAUCAACUACAUAUCCAAGUUCAUCUAUUUUAAGUUGAUUUAGUUGUGUUUCUACAUGGCUUAACCUCUCUCAUUUACCCAAAAAAACAACUGCUAUAUGCAAUAAAAUUUCAUUACAAGUUAAAAAAAAAUUUAAAUCGCUUAAGGUGGAUUUUCAUGGUAUAAGGCAUUCAAUAAUUCAAAUAAAUCGACACAAGUUGCUUAUUAUAUAAAAAAAUGAUCUUCUUUUAAAAUGCCUACCUCCUUGAUUGUCUUGGUUAAAUUUCAAGGGAAAAGGUCGAUGUUUUAAAAGACAAAGUGAGCCCAAUGUGGGACCAUUAGGAACAAAAAAGAGUUUUAUAGUUUAUCAAAUUCAUUUGCCAAGUCAAGUAAACAGCUUUCUAAAUCAUAGCCACCGACUCAAUGUGCUCCCCAACAUCAGAACUCAUCUUGAAUAUGAAUGAGGGAAUAGCUUUGAUAUUCUAAUUAUUCAUGUGGUUCAUUUGCCAUGUUCUAUCUUAAAGAAUCUUCCCUUUUAAACGUCAAUAUCAAGGGAAUGUAGCAUAAGCUUAAUGUAAACUUCAGUGCCGAGCCCACUCUAUAAAGUCAAACACUCAAGUUGUUAUCACAAAAUGUCGAACAAGAGAAAAUAGAAUGGUCAUCACUUUGGAUAUUCUUUAAAGAUUGGAAUUCAUAUGAAGCAUGGUGCAUACACAAAAAUAAUCCAAGUUACUUGCAUUAACACUUUUCCAUAUUUCCACUUUUCUUAUUAUAGAAAAAGCAUGCUUAUAAAUCAACAUUUAGUAUUGAUCCUGUUAUCCACAUGAGACACCAAUUAUCCAAACUUGCAUUGUCCAUAUAAAUGACGUCCUUCAUGUUUUCCUUUUUAGACCAUUAGAAAUUAAAAAAAAUAUAAGAAGAAGGGUAAACCUAAAGUUUCUCAAAAUAUUAUCUUCAUUUACUUAACUGGAAAUGAAACCUUAAUUUCACAAACAUAACUUUUUCUAUUGUAUUCAAAUAAAUAGCAGCAUUCAUCUUGACUAUCACAAAAGCCAUACACUUGAGAACAAAAUAAUUAUUAUUAUUAAGUAAAACAGGGGUGAUGUUCACCAUCAUUUCAUCGAGGAUUUGAAAUGGUGAGAACAAAUAGUUAUUAUUAAUCAAAUAACUAUUACCCAGCAAAAUAACAUCACUACUAAAGACAAGUUCCAUAUGUGCAAAACUAGUUUACUUUCAAAAACUAUCGUCAGGAACAGCUGCAUUCCUCUUGAUACAAACCACAUCAGAAGUUACAUAUGUAUAAAACACACAGUAGUUGAAUACCUCUUGAAAGCAAAACUAUACUGCUACUUAAAAAAGAAGCCCAGUGCCUUUAAUAAUGACUCAUUUUUUUUAAUUUAAACCUCCUCAAGAACAUACGGAGUAGGAAGAAAACAGUAAGAUGCUAACAAGAAUGUCUCCAUUUAAAAUUAAAGAAGAAAUUGCCUUUUUAAUUGCUUUACCAUCAAAUUACGAUUCUGCUUGUUUGGGAUGUUGACUUCGAAAGAACAAAGAUAGCCAGCGUAUCUUAAAAAGAAAGUCUUUUUUUUUCUUUCUUCCCGCAUCCAAACCAUCAAACUUCUAACUCGAGCCGACUCAAGAUGCAAGUCAGAUCAGUAGAAAAUUGACUGUUCCAGUAUCUAUAAUCUAUAUAGCACGAGGCAUCUAAAGAUUCCUAUUCUGAGUCAACUCACUUGACUCGCUUUCCAAAUAAUUGAACCCAAAAAAAACAAGCAACAACAACAAAAUACUCAUAACCAUUGAAUAUACCUCUACUCCUCCCCAGACAACCACAGGAAGGAACACCACCAAGACGAAGCGGACAAGAACACAAGACCAAAAACCAAAAAGACCCCCAUACCCCCAAAAACCACAACAAGACGCCACCUUCCCCCCCCCCGAUAUUUCUCCAACUCCAAGGGCAAACAAAGAAAACCAAUAGAAUCAGCUAGAAAGACAGCGAAAGGAAGUACCUUGUAGUGGAGCGGCACGCCGGUGUUGGGCCCAAUGCCCUUCUCCCCGGUGCACAGCGCCCUGAAGUUCUCCGCCGUCCGCGGCGCCACUCCGGCGUAGAGCUCCACCACGAUCCUCCCUUCCAUCUCCCCUCCGAUGCUGACAUCCAUGUAGCACCGCGGAUUCGCCGUUUUCUUCGCCUCCCCUCCCUCCAUCUCUCUCUAUCUCUCUCUCUGAGGGAAGAGCGCACUCAAAACCCUUUUGUUUCUCUUGCUCAGAAACCCUAAUCCUUCUUUCCUCGUCUCGGAGCUCCCUCUGGCGGCCUCCUCCGGAGAAGCGCUUUAUAUUCAAAUCAAAAACUGCCCCCUCUUUAAUGCCCAGGGUGGGCUAAUAAUAUAUUAACAUUAAUAAAAAUUAGCUUUUAUUUUUUUCUUUUAUUUAAUGCUUGAUUGAGUGGGGAUGAUGGGGGUCCCUUGGAUGGGUACACUACACCCAAGAGCAGGGGUAGCUUGUGACUUUUUUGCCUGGCUUCGGGGCUUAUAAAUGGGUGCAUGAAACAUGGUGCAACUCUCUGGGUUCUGGAACCAUCCUUGCACUUAUUACAUUAUUAUUUGCCGGGUUGCUCCUCUCUGAGAUGGGUCCGAUAAUUUUUUUUCUUGGCUAGAUGUUGUGACAAAUUUAUGUCGUCUGUUCUCCGUGUGUGAGGUUGUUAAUUGGGUGCAAUGUCGGUGAACGGGUGUCUGGGCUCUUUUUGGUAUGUGAGAGAGAGAAAGUGUGUGUGUGUGUGUGCGUGUGUGAGAGAGAGAGAGAAGGGGGGGGUGGGGGCAUUUUGAUGCCUAAAGUUGCGUAGGUUGCAUUUUGUUUGGGAAGUUGGCAUGCAGAGAAAAUGUGACAUUUGACUGGUGUUAUUGCUGGAAAUUUAAUUGGAUUGGUUUGACAAGAAAUAUUUCACCAUGGCAUAAGAUGUCAUUCUUCUAUGCUACAUGGUAAGAGAUGGAGGGAAGACCUACUAAAUGCUAAAUGGAAUUACCAAGGUCUAAUUUUCUAACUCUGUACAUUGUUUAGCUGGAGGAGAGGAAUGAUUGCUAGGUUAAAGAUGAUAAUGGCAAUAUCAAUUUGUUGAUUAGGUUUGUCGAAUGAUGUUUUAAGCUGAAAUAAGAAAGUACGGUUUUAAGUGCUUGAACGAUUCAUCCUUUAAAACUUCUCUUUAACAGGCUUUCCACUGGGUUAUCCUGUUUCAAUGAGUGGCGUCCCCUCCUUACAAUAUUGUUAAGGUUAAUUUGAUGGAUCCAUUCAUGGCAAUAAAAUAGGUGCCGAAUUUAUUAUGGGAGACUACAUGGGGUCAAACUCUUUGUGCCGCUUCUCGAAUUAUUCAUACUUCAUUUGUGCCAAUGGCAGCACCUAAGGCAACUUAGGUAGGGCUAAUGAUGGUAGUUUAUAAGUUAAAUGCUCAGAAUUUGGAUAAAAGGGGAUUCAUCUACCCUUACAUUGUUGAACCUAAGGUUAAAAGAAUCCACAAAUUGGGUUUCCAGCCCAAUGGUUUGAAUCCAUCCUAUUUGGAAGAGGUUUCAUGUUUAAAACUUGGGAGGAAUUUGUUGGAUCAUUCUAACCAAUUGUUUUAAAUGAUUAGUAAUACUUCCACCAUUACUCUCAAAUUGGGGGAAAAAAAAACCAAACAAAACAAAAGAAGACGUCUUAAGAAAAUAGGAUAAAGAACUAUAUUGCCUCUUGGAGGUGACAUGCAAUAAACCACGCACCACCACCAACCUUGGACAUAGUGGAUAGCUUUAAUCGCAAAACCAACAUUUCAAUCAAAAAUUUCAACCGUGGGGUCAUUGGGUAACCGGCAUAAUCUUCUUU
rnacentral:lncRNA from 1 species